AGAUGAACAAACCAUUCAGACAGAGAAGGUCACUGUAAAAGAGAGAUAUUUACAUUUGGUCAAUGUAUGAAGAGUGGGAAGCAAGGAAGAGGAGGAAGACUGCACUACCCUUCACCCCUCUGCAGUCCUGUUCAGGGAGCCAAGCCCGUUGCCCCAGCAGAGAGGGAAACAGGUGGGCGUGGCCAGGUGAGAGCGGGAGGCAUCAGAGCGUAAUGGCUCCUUUCACUUUAUCAAUGGGCCGUUGUUUGACCUCUUAAGAAGAACUCAUGACCUUACCUUUUAAAGAUUUGUUAAGGACUAUCCCCCAGGCUCAUUCAAGAACCAUGAAUUAACUUAAUGUAACUGUUUCAAAUACAUUUUCAUGUUCCUUUAGUUCCUGAUCAUUGGAAUUGAAGUUGGUUGCCUAAUGUUUGGCUGUAAAACGGUACAGAUAAGAAUAGGGAGGGUGAAUGCACUGUGAUAGGGGACACGAUGUGGUAAGUGAUAGGGGAGACCCCAUGCUGAGAGAGAGAAAGAGGGAGGGAGCGAGAGAGAGAGAGUGAGAGGGGGAAGAGAAGCAAAGGAAACCAAAGACUUUAUGUGAGACGAAGAAUUUAUUAGACUUUAUAUCGCACUGAAGAGGAUAAGAAAGAACAAAUUCAAUAAAGGAAUAUCAAGGAAUUACUAAGGCUUUACAUAACAUUACGUAGGGUUAAAUAGAGUGGAUCAGCGACAGAAAGACAAGUUAAUGCGUGGAUGGAUGAGUUUGAGUAAAAGGGAGAGGGGAAAGUAAAUGAGGAUGGAAUUAAUGGACGAAUCAGAAGUAGACGUGCAUGUGUAGACUUAUGAUGUCACAAGAGCGCUUACCUCUGAUUGGAUCUUCGAAAAAAAAGAGUGCAGCCAAGGCCUCAAGCUCCGCCUCCGCUGCUCCCCAGCGCCCCCCCCUGGCCGGACUUAGACGGCGCAGCAGCCGGCCGUCCCAGCCCACCUCCUCGUCCUCCUCCCACCCCCUCUCUCACGCCUUCCUCCACGCCGACACCUCCAUCACCCCCUGGGGAGGGCUCCUCCUC